UCUGUUUCGUGUUUUGAUGGAGGUCAUUUGCUUGUAUUGAUGGCCGAGUUUUAGGUGUUUCCCUUAGUGCUUGGUUGUGCCAUUUUCAUGGUUCUGUGUUUGAUUAGGGUUGGCUCAUUUAGUGUUUUGUUCGGUUAUGUUUGUCAUCUUUUUUAUUUUUUAUUUUUUACCAUUUUGUUGUUGGUGUUGUCAGGUGUCAGUCUUUGUUUUUAUUCAUUAACCUUUGGUUUGUUCCCUUUGGAUUUUAGUAAGGGUACAAGCAGGAGACUCACUUUCUAAAAUUUUCCAUGCUUUUGCUAAUGCGCAAAGAGGAAUAAUAUGAUUGGUACACUAUUCAAUGAAAAUGGAGUUUUGGUGUGUGAUAAGGAAGACAUGCAUCGGAUUGUG
rnacentral:lncRNA from 1 species